GUUAAAAAGCUCGUAGUUGGAUUUCUGUUGAGGAAGUCCGGUCCGCACUUUGUGCGUGAUCUGGUUCUGCCUCGGCAUCCUCGCGGGGAACGCGCUGCACUUGAUUGCGUGGUGCGGUAUUCGCGACUUUUACUUUGAGGAAAUUAGAGUGUUCACGGCAGGCUAUCGCCUUGAAUACGUUAGCAUGGAAUAAUAAUAUAGGACCUUGGUUCUAUUUUGUUGGUUUCUAGAACUAAGGUAAUGAUUAAUAGGGAUAAUUGGGGGCAUUUGUAUUAACACGUCAGAGGUGAAAUUCUUGGAUUGUGUUACGACAAACUACUGCGAAAGCAUUUGCCAAGGAUGUUUUCAUUGAUCAAGAACGAAAGUAAGGGGAUCGAAGACGAUUAGAUACCGUCGUAGUCUUUACCAUAAACUAUGCCAACUAGAGAUUGGAGGUCGUUCUUUUUAUGACUCCUUCAGCACCUUAUGAGAAAUCAAAGUCUUUGGGUUCCGGGGGGAGUAUGGUCGCAAGGCUGAAACUUAAAGGAAUUGACGGAAGGGCACCACCAGGAGUGGAGCCUGCGGCUUAAUUUGACUCAACACGGGGAAACUUACCAGGUCCAGACAUAGUAAGGAUGGACAGAUUGAUAGCUCUUUCU
rnacentral:rRNA from 1 species